rnacentral:lncRNA from 1 species
GCGUCGCGGGCGGUUCGGCUCCGGUGCGGCGGCGGGACGGGCGACGGUGGUCCUCGGCAAGCUGCUGCUCUUCUUUGCUGGUUUUGGUCCGGUUCGCACAAAGAAGAACGAAGAAGAAGAAGAAGGUCACGUGGGGGAGAAGAGAGAGGAGAGAGAAGAAGAGAUAAUGGUUGAAAAGUCAAAUGGGGAAGAGAAAGCAAAGUAGGAAACGGCAAAGGAAAAGGGGAGAGAGUCGGCAUGGGGAAGGGGGCUGUCCGCACGGAAGAAAAGGGGAGAAAAGAGAG